AGACGUCUACAUUAGAUACCCGGGUAGUCCCAGCCGUAAACUAUGCGCGUUAGGUGUAUCGGUGACCACGAGUCACCGAGGUGCCGAAGGGAAACCGUGAAACGUGCCGCCUGGGAAGUACGGUCGCAAGGCUGAAACUUAAGGGAAUUGGCGGGGAGCACCACAACGGGUGGAGCCUGCGGUUUAAUUGGACUCAACGCCGGGAAGCUCACCGGAUAAGACAGCGGAAUGAUUGCCGGGCUGAAGACUCUGCAUGACUAGCUG
rnacentral:rRNA from 1 species